GACGAACGCUGGCGGCGCGCCUAACACAUGCAAGUCGAACGAGAGAUGAAGAGCUUGCUCUUCAGAUCGAGUGGCGAACGGGUGAGUAACGCGUGAGGAACCUGCCUCAAAGAGGGGGACAACAGUUGGAAACGACUGCUAAUACCGCAUAAGCCCACAGCUCGGCAUCGAGCAGAGGGAAAAGGAGCAAUCCGCUUUGAGAUGGCCUCGCGUCCGAUUAGCUAGUUGGUGAGGUAAUGGCCCACCAAGGCGACGAUCGGUAGCCGGACUGAGAGGUUGAACGGCCACAUUGGGACUGAGACACGGCCCAGACUCCUACGGGAGGCAGCAGUGGGGAAUAUUGCACAAUGGGGGAAACCCUGAUGCAGCGACGCCGCGUGGAGGAAGAAGGUCUUCGGAUUGUAAACUCCUGUUGUUGAGGAAGAUAAUGACGGUACUCAACAAGGAAGUGACGGCUAACUACGUG
rnacentral:rRNA from 1 species